rnacentral:rRNA from 1 species
UCCCAACAGUCCAAGUCGCAGCCACAAUUAUUGGGUCUAAAACAUCCGUAGCUUGCUAGGUAAGUCUUUUGUGAAAUCUGGCCUCUUAAGGGUCGGACGCGCAAGGGAUACUGCUUAGCUAGGAACCGGGGGACGUAAUGAGUAUAGUAUGGGUAGCGGUAAAAUGCGUUGAUCCAUACUAGACUAACAAUAGCGAAGGCACAUUACGACAACGGAUUCGACAGUGAGGGAUGAAGGCUAGGGGCGCAAAUUG